UACGGAGGGUGCAAGCGUUAGUCGGAAUUAUUGGGCGUAAAGGGUGCGUAGGCUGGUAUGUAAGUCAGACGUGAAAUUCCGAGGCUCAACCUCGGAGCGGCAUCUGAAACUGCGUACCUAGCGGAAUGGCGGAGAAAACGGAAUUCCACGUGUAGCGGUGAAAUGCGUAGAUAUGUGGAAGAACACCUGUGGCGAAAGCGGUUUUCUAGCCUACUCCAGACGCUGAGGCACGAAAGCAAGGGGAUCAAACAGG
rnacentral:rRNA from 1 species